AUUGAACGCUGGCGGCAUGCUUUACACAUGCAAGUCGAACGGUAACAGGCCUUCGGGCGCUGACGAGUGGCGAACGGGUGAGUAAUGCAUCGGAACGUGCCCAGUCGUGGGGGAUAACGCAGCGAAAGCUGUGCUAAUACCGCAUACGAUCUGCGGAUGAAAGCGGGGGACCUUCGGGCCUCGCGCGAUUGGAGCGGCCGAUGUCAGAUUAGGUAGUUGGUGGGGUAAAGGCUCACCAAGCCAACGAUCUGUAGCUGGUCUGAGAGGACGACCAGCCACACUGGGACUGAGACACGGCCCAGACUCCUACGGGAGGCAGCAGUGGGGAAUUUUGGUCAAUGGGCGGGAGCCUGAACCAGCCAAGUCGCGUGGAGGACGACGGUUCUAUGGAUUGUAAACUCCUUUUGCACUGGGGUAAAACGCGGGGCGUGUCCCGCCUUGCAAGCACAGUGCGAAUAAGCAUCGGCUAACUCCGUGCCAGCCGCCGCCGUAAUAC
rnacentral:rRNA from 1 species